rnacentral:rRNA from 1 species
GUUGAACGCUGGCGGCAUGCCUUACACAUGCAAGUCGAACGGUAACGCGGGGCAACCUGGCGACGAGUGGCGAACGGGUGAGUAAUGCAUCGGAACGUGCCCAGUAGUGGGGGAUAGCUCGGCGAAAGCCGGAUUAAUACCGCAUACGACCUACGGGUGAAAGCGGGGGACCGCAAGGCCUCGCGCUAUUGGAGCGGCCGAUGUCAGAUUAGGUUGUUGGUGAGGUAAAGGCUCACCAAGCAGAGGAUCUGUAGCUGGUCUGAGAGGACAACCAGCCACACUGGGACGGAGACACGGGCCAGACUCCUACGGGAGGCAGCAGUGGGGAAUUUUGGACAAUGGGGGCAACCCUGAUCCAGCCAUGCCGCGUGCGGGAAGAAGGCCCUCGGGUUGUAAACCGCUUUUGUCAGGGAAGAAAAGCUUCGAGCUAAUACCUCGAGGUAAUGACGGUACCUGAAGAAUAAGCACCGGCUAACUACGUGCCAGCCGCCGCAGUAAAAC